GACGGAGGGUGCAAGCGUUGUCCGGAUUUAUUGGGCGUAAAACGUCUGUAGGCGGUUUAUUAAGUUCGAGGUUAAAUGGCUAGGCUCAACCAAGUCAUGCCUUGAAUACUGAUAGACUAGAGUAUGUCAGGGGUUAGUGGAAUUCCCGGUGUAGUGGUGAAAUACGUAGAUAUCGGGAGGAACUCCAGUGGCGAAAGCGACUAACUGGGGCAUAACUGACGCUGAGAGACGAAAGCGUGGGGAGCGAAAAGG
rnacentral:rRNA from 1 species